rnacentral:rRNA from 1 species
GAUGAACGCUGGCGGCGUGCCUAAUACAUGCAAGUCGAGCGAAUGGAUUAAGAGCUUGCUCUUAUGAAGUCAGCGGCGGACGGGUGAGUAACACGUGGGUAACCUGCCCAUAAGACUGGGAUAACUCCGGGAAACCGGGGCUAAUACCGGAUAACAUUUUGAACCGCAUGGUUCGAAAUUGAAAGGCGGCUUCGGCUGUCACUUAUGGAUGGACCCGCGUCGCAUUAGCUAGUUGGUGAGGUAACGGCUCACCAAGGCAACGAUGCGUAGCCGACCUGAGAGGGUGAUCGGCCACACUGGGCCUGAGACACGGCCCAGACUCCUACGGGGGGCAGCAGGAGGGAAUCUUCCGCAAUGGACGAAAGUCUGACGGAGCAACGCCGCGUGAGUGAUGAAGGCUUUCGGGUCGUAAAACUCUGUUGUUAGGGAAGAACAAGUGCUAGUUGAAUAAGCAGGCACCUUGACGGUACCUAACCAGAAAGCCACGGCUAACUACGUGCCAGCCGCCGCAGUAA